GACGAACGCUGGCGGCGUGCUUAACACAUGCAAGUCGAACGGUAAGGCCCUUCGGGGUACACGAGUGGCGAACGGGUGAGUAACACGUGGGUGAUCUGCCCUGCACUUCGGGAUAAGCCUGGGAAACCGGGUCUAAUACCGGAUAGGACUCCUGGCUUCAUGGUUGGGGUGUAAAGCUUUUGCGGUGUGGGAUGGGCCCGCGGCCUAUCAGCUUGUUGGUAGGGUAAUGGCCUACCAAGGCGACGACGGGUAGCCGGCCUGAGAGGGUGACCGGCCACACUGGGACUGAGAUACGGCCCAGACUCCUACGGGAGGCAGCAGUGGGGAAUAUUGCACAAUGGGCGCAAGCCUGAUGCAGCGACGCCGCGUGAGGGAUGAC
rnacentral:rRNA from 1 species